rnacentral:lncRNA from 1 species
AAAAAACGGUGAAGAUUGAAGAAAAAGACAUCAUGAGACAUGAGAAUAAGAGCAUGUUUUUGCGGCCAAGAGUGGAGUCAGCAAGCGUUGCAAGUGCAAGUCCGCCUGCAAGGCAACCCAUGAAGAAAGCAGAAGCAGGGAGGCCAGUGAUGAAAGAAGGCGCACAUUCCAGGCCCCAUUCCGCUAUGAUUGAUGUGUGGGAAGGCCAAUCCCAAGACCAUGAAUUCUUAGGGAGCUCGCAAAUGUUGGACAAAGCGUUACAAACAGACUCGUCUCCGCCUUGGGUGCAGUGCCAGGAUGGCUCAGCAUCAGUGAAUACACUGAUGAAGGUUUGCUGAGCAUCAAAGACCC